ensembl:misc_RNA Metazoa_SRP Metazoan signal recognition particle RNA
GCCUGGCAUGGUGGUCCCAUAUACUUGGGAGGCUGAGGCUGGGGGAUUGGUUGAGCCCAGGAGUUCUGGGAGUUGUAUGGUGCCAUGCUGGUCAGCUAUCUGCACUAAAUUUGGCAUCAAUAUGGUGACUUCCCUAGAGUAGGGGACCACCAGUUUGCCUAAGGAGGGGUGAACUGGCCCAGGUCAGAAAUGGAGCAGGUCAAAACUCCUGUGCUGAUCAGUAAUGGGAUUGUGCCUAUGAAUAGCCACUGCAUUCCGGCCUAGGAAACAUAGCAAGACCCUGUCUCU